rnacentral:piRNA from 1 species
UUGUCCGAUCAGCAUUAUUUUGGCUAGUGCU